rnacentral:rRNA from 1 species
UACGGAGGGGCUAGCGUUGUUCGGAAUUACUGGGCGUAAAGCGCACGUAGGCGGCUUUGUAAGUUAGAGGUGAAAGCCCGGGGCUCAACUCCGGAAUUGCCUUUAAGACUGCAUCGCUAGAAUUGUGGAGAGGUAAGUGGAAUCCGAGUGUAGAGGUGAAAUCGUAGAUAUUCGGAAGAACACCAGUGGCGAAGGCGACUUACUGGACACAUAUUGACGCUGAGGUGCGAAAGCGUGGG